rnacentral:rRNA from 1 species
UACGAAGGGGCUAGCGUUGUUCGGAAUUACUGGGCGUAAAGCGCACGUAGGCGGAUAUUUAAGUCGGGGGUGAAUCCCGGGCUCAACCCCGGAACUGGCCUUCGAUACUGGGUAUCUUGAGUUCGGAAGAGGUGAGUGGAAUUGCGAGUGUAGAGGUGAAAUUCGUAGAUAUUCGCAAGAACACCAGUGGCGAAGGCGGCUCACUGGCCCGAUACUGACGCUGAGGCACGGAAAGCGUGGG